AACAAACGCUGGCGGCGUGCCUAACACAUGCAAGUCGUACGAGAAAGGGUCCUUCGGGGCCUGAGUAAAGUGGCGCACGGGUGAGUAACGCGUGGAUAAUCUGCCCUUCAGUUGGGAAUAACUCAUCGAAAGGUGGGCUAAUACCGAAUAAUGCUGUGAGACCUCGGUUGAUCAGCCAAAGAGAGCCUCUGCUUGCAAGCCCUCGCUGAAGGAUGAGUCCGCGUACCAUUAGCUAGUUGGUAGGGUAAUGGCCUACCAAGGCGACGAUGGUUAGGUGGUCGGAGAGGAUGAUCAGCCACACUGGAACUGAGACACGGUCCAGACUCCUACGGGAGGCAGCAGUGAGGAAUCUUGCGCAAUGGGGGCAACCCUGACGCAGCAACGCCGCGUGAGUGAGGAAGGUCUUCGGAUCGUAAAGCUCUGUCGGAUGGAAAGAACCGCAUAGGGGUAAACAGCCCCUGUGUCUGACAGUACCAUCAAAGGAAGCACCGGCUAACUCCGUGCCAGCCGCCGCCGUAAAAC
rnacentral:rRNA from 1 species